rnacentral:tRNA from 1 species
GCUCCGCUAGCUCAGUGGUAGAGCACCUCCCUUGUAAGGAGAAGGCCCACGGUUCGAUCCCGUGGCGCAGCU